rnacentral:rRNA from 1 species
GCUGCUGAGCGGCGGACGGGUGAGUAACGCGUGGGUACCUGCCUCAUACAGGGGGAUAACAGCUAGAAAUGGCUGCUAAUACCGCAUAAGAUCGCAUGAUAAAAGCCGAGACGGUAUGAGAUGGACCCGCGUCUGAUUAGCUAGUUGGUGGGGUAACGGCCCACCAAGGCGACGAUCAGUAGCCGACCUGAGAGGGUGACCGGCCACAUUAGGACUGAGACACGGCCCAAACUCCUACGGGAGGCAGCAGUGGGGGAUAUUGCACAAUGGGGGAAACCCUGAUGCAGCGACGCCGCGUGAGUGAAGAAGUAUUUCGGUAUGUAAUGCUCUAUCAGCAGGGAAGAAGAUGACGGUACCUGACUAAGAAUCCCCGGCUAACUACGUGCCAGCAGCCGCGGUAAUACGUAGGGGGCAAGCGUUAUCCGGAUUUACUGGGUGUAAAGGGAGCGUAGACGGCUGUGCAAGUCUGGAGUGAAAUGCCGGGGCUCAACCCCGGAACUGCUUUGGAAACUGUACGGCUUGAGUGCUGGAGAGG